CGGGAUGUGGCGCAGACCGGUAGCGCGCUUCGUUCGGGACGAAGAGGUCGUGGGUUCGAAUCCCGCCAUCCCGA
rnacentral:tRNA from 1 species